UUAGGACAGCGAAAAGCGAUUUUCCUUACUGAGGAGUUGACAACACUGCUUGAAGUUCUCCAGAGGCCAGUAGCACGUGUCAUCCGUUAGCACAGAACCGCUUAGCAUCAUCAAGUAAGGUCACUAGUGACCCCACAGUAUAGCUAAAGCCAUUAGUGGUGCCACAAACAUGCCCACGUUUACUAUAUAUGAGCAGUGAACCGUGGUUCGACGGCGCAGAGACCGGAGAGGAGAUUGUGGCUGAACGGCCAGGACGAGCGGACGCAGAUCGCCCCGACGCAUCAGCUUUCCAUCCCAGGACAGACUGAGAACCUACGUCGGUCGUCAGAGGAGGACAAAACGCCAGCUUUGAGGCCGAAUAUACAAAGCUUGAAAUGGUCGGAGGCGGCGGCUUUGGAUCGGUUUUUGCUGGGAGAAGAAAAAGAGGUAAUUCGCCAGUGGUGAUCAAACACAUCCACAAAGAAGAUGUACAAUGUGAACUAGUGCAUUUCUGUGGGAAAACCUGCAAAGUUCCACUGAAGUUCUACCCAUGACCGGGAAGUGGACCACCUCUGUAGGGAAGUCUGCCACAGUCUCCAUACUGGACUGGCAUGAGCUUGAGAAAAAGGUUCUUCUCAUCAUGACAGUCCCCUGUGUAAAGGAGGAGACCAUCAUGAAGCAGACGGUGUUUUCCAUCGAGACAUAACGACAGAAAAUGUACUUGUUGAAACUGGCCCCCAUGACUAUCAAGUCAGAGUCAUUGACUUUGGAUGUGGCUGCUUGGCUCAAGAAGAACCAUACUCCAUUCUCUGAAGCCAAAGCUUCCCCCCCCAGAGUUUAACCCAUGGGAGAUACGAGGCCCCACCACAGUCUGGCAGUUGGGCAUGUUGCUAUAUGACAUGCUGGAUGGAAAGCAACAAUUUACCACAUCUAAGUAUCUCUGCACGACGACCACUUUUAAUAUUGAGAUGUCCCAAGGUGAGAAAAUGUCACAGAAGGCCAGAGGCCAGUAACUGGAACUGAACCCAAGCACAGUACCCAGAGCAGAGGCAGAGAAAAGGUUUUAACGGAGUUUUAUUGAUCAACACAAGAAUAAUAUUUGGUAGUGACAAAACUAUACAGGAUUUGGGUGGCAUGGCAACAUGGCUGGGGCAAAACUGAGAGGGUAACCGGAGCGGGAAUAGUCACACUGGGAAUCGAGGAAAACCAAAUUAAUGCUUAGCCGGAGGGGAGUUCCGGAGAAAGUAUGUGUAAUUAUUCUUCCAGCUUAAUUUGCAGGUGAGAGAUGGAUGUGUUGAAGGAGAGGCGGCGUAGAUCCGGGUGAGUUUGAUGAUGCGAAUAUGGCUGACUGGAGUUCCUUGUGGUUCCAAGACCGAGGGACAGCAGGAGGGCGGGCAGGUGAGGCAAGGAGUGAAUCCCAGGAAAUAGAGGGGAAAAUCCAAAGACCAAAAGGAUGUGUGGUUUAAAACUGUGGAGCAUCUGGGAGCACUGACACACAAAAACAACAAGAUGUGUUUGACUCAAAGUCCAAAAAAGUGAGCAACACUGGAACAAAGUCAACAGCACCCCUGGCUGCAAAAUCGAAACAUAAGGAUUUAAAAUCAGCUGAUUGUUUGCACCUGUGUCCCGCUCGUCAAUCCUCCCGC